AGACUCCCAAGCACCAGCUAGUUCCACUCCAUAGCCCAGCCACUCUCAUCUACAUUCCAUAUGCCCAUCCCAGUAAGCAAGCCAACUACUAGAAUUUGACUGACAUGCAUCUUGUAACUUACAUAAACCAGACCUCUACAUAGCCUACAUCUCUUCAUUUCACUAAACGCUGCCCAUCACCUUUUCAAACUCUCUCAUCCUAGCCUGUCAUCUGUAUAAAGCACACUGAAGUUAGGCUCCCUACACCUGCUUACUUUCUCCAUCUCCAUCUCCCACAACUUAGCUAACAGCUUUGAGACUCGCUAAAAGUUGAAUCCCAGAACCCCUAAAUGAUGUAGGCUAUGUGGCCAAAAAAAACUUUGUCCAGGGUUACAUAGCACGACAACUUUAAACUAAAU